AUGCAAUUAGAUAAGCCCACUUGACCUGUCACAUUGCUGAUGGACACCCAGAGUGCAUUGCCUGCUAAAGGCAAAUUCUUUAGUAAUGUAUACUGCUCUUUUCUUGUAUGUGUUGCUCUAAAGGACUGUGGAAAUAUUA
ensembl:snoRNA SNORA70 Small nucleolar RNA SNORA70